GAUGGUGCAGGCCGGGGGUCCGGAGAAAAUUGCGAGCUUCACUUUUCCUUCCUGUCACCAGCAGCUGGUACCACUUGGCACAUGAGCGAGGCUGGUAUGUCCUGUAGAUGUCCACCUUUCCUUCCCUCCGUCUAUAAAGCCCUAGAUGUGCUCGGUUAGAAGCUGACCUGCAAAGGAUAGCGCUGUGUCGAAUAUCAACGGCUGGAUCAUUUGGUGGUUCUCAGGGCGGGAUGACUGGCUCACCCAUGCUUGCAUAGCAUGGGGGGCAAGGAAGCGCUGUUUACAGCCACAGCUCCUCACUGACAGGAUGUCAACAAUGGAGAAAAAGCUGAGUGCUGCAUCUGCAGCUCUGGAACAAGAGUGCUGGGCCCUGCUUGGCGCCUCCUCUGCUGACUGCAUCGCCAUCAUCACCUCUUUGACUGCUCAGGUCAAGGAACUGGCUGCAGGUGCAACUUGGAUUCCUGUCCAAUCAUAACAUCCAAACUGUGAUAGUCGGUCUGGUGUUGCUCUGCCAACACAGUGAUCUGCUGAAUGCAAGAGAGUUGCUGCCCUUUUGGUGCAAAUCUGGCCUCACCAAUGUUCACAAUCGCAGGAGAAUUGCAGAAGACUCGACAUACCAUGAGUGCCGCCAUGGAGUACUUUACUCUAAUCUUCGCGAGAAUCUAUGCGAUUAUUUUAGUAUCAAAGGUCCAAUAAAGCCUUUAUGCAUCGAUGGUCAUAAUUGGGGGUCAGUGCACAAGCUAUGUCUCAGAAACUCUUAUCCAUCUCGCCUACUAGUUCAACACUGUCUCAAUGGAAUUCUUACAUAUCCCCGACAGAUCAAAAAGCUAGUUUUUGCCUGAUCAUUUUAUUGGCAGUGUUAGUAAAAGUGGUAGCGUAGCUCACUUUUGGGCCUAGGCCUGCAGGGAAACGUGCAUUCUAGUUCCUAGGUAAAGGGAUGUGUGGUGCUUCUGGUCUCAACAUACUUGUCUGUUCAAAGACAUCGUGUGAAGUGUGCAAGCCGGGGAGUCCUAUAGGUUGAAAAUGGCAAGCGGCGCGGGUAUACAGAGUGCAAGGCUUUGAUCCUAAAAAAAAUAUAAACCCUUCAAUUGACUUGAAAUUGUGAGGCAUGCCUCAUAAUAAAAGUGCGCACUUUUAUUAAUAUAUAUAAUAAUAUAUAUGAUAAUAUUAGGAGGCAUUACAACACGACCGCCGGUCGCUGGACGUGAACAAAAUCUAAACCCUUCAAUUGAA
rnacentral:lncRNA from 1 species